UGCUGCCUCUUUGAGAAUAGUUCCAACCAGAAUUUUUUGACAUUACUAAUCCAUAAAUUAUUUUUCUUCUCCUACAAUAGAAAAUCCAUAAUGUCUUAAGUUUUUUGAAUCACUGAUAUUACAUUAAAAGAUGAUUUGAUAUAUUCAAAUCAAAGCAACUGACAUGAGAAACAUUCAUCAACAAUAGAUAACUUAUAAUAUAGAUAACAAAAAUAUUAUCAUCUUAUUGAUUUUGAGUAUUGAUUAUUGAGAAAGUUUAAAAAUACUGUUUUGCAACAUUCAAGAAACUCUAAAACUAAUACAAACAACUAAUAAAUUUAGGAAAAUAAACAGAAAAUGGCUCGAAAAAAUAAUUGUUGAAAAUAACUGAAUAAAAACUAAUACAAACGACGGAUUUAACCAUUGACCUUCUGGUUUUUUAAUAGUGAUGGAAUCGUGAUUCCGUCGUCCGAUUCAUUCAGGGUCAGUGAAGAUCGUGGGCUCUCGUAUGGCGGCCAUGAUGUCGUACCACCAGAAGGAGCAUUCCAGUCUUACCUCUAUGCAUCCUCGCCAACAGUUCCGCGACAUGGUGACGGGACGGUCAUUGUACCUGAUCUUGCAGAAUGUGACAAACGCCAGGAAGUGUCUAUUGCGAUGAACGGUAGGAUGCCUGGUCCGCAGCAAUCCGCAGGGGAGAAGAACCACAGCAAAAAUGCACCUUAUAUAUAUAAUUAAAUUUAUUUCUUAAUCAAGUUGUGUAUAUUCAUUAAAAUUGUAAAAUUCAAUCCAAACCAUAUAUGCUAGA
rnacentral:lncRNA from 1 species